rnacentral:rRNA from 1 species
UACGUAGGGUGCGAGCGUUAAUCGGAAUUACUGGGCGUAAAGGGUGCGCAGGCGGCUUGCUAAGACAGGUGUGAAAGCCCCGAGCUUAACUUGGGAAUGGCGCUUGUGACUGGCAGGCUGGAGUGUGGCAGAGGGAGGUGGAAUUCCACGUGUAGCAGUGAAAUGCGUAGAGAUGUGGAGGAACACCGAUGGCGAAGGCAGCCUCCUGGGCCAACACUGACGCUCAUGCAUGAAAGCGUGGGGAGCAAACAGG